UCCUACGGGAGGCAGCAGUGGGAAUAUUGCGCAAUGGGCGGAAGCCUGAGCCAGCGACGCCGCGUGGGGGAUGAAGGCCUUCGGGUUGUAAACCUCUUUCAGCAGGGACGAAGUUGACGUGUACCUGCAGAAGAAGCGUCGGCCAACUACGUGCCAGCAGUCGCGGUAAUGCGUAGGGCGCGAGCGUUGUCCGGAUUUAUUGGGCGUAAAGAGCUCGUAGGCGGCCUGCCGGCGUCUGCCGUGAAACCCGACGGCUCAACCGUGGGUCUGCGGCGGAUACGGGCGGGCUUGAGGCUGGUAAGGGCAAGCGGAAUUCCUGGUGUAGCGGUGGAAUGCGCAGA
rnacentral:rRNA from 1 species